rnacentral:lncRNA from 1 species
GUUUUCUGCUCUCUGGCUCUCCUCUCCUGAAGCUGAUCAUCUAUCUCUUAAGAUGUAUUAAAGCUUUACUGCAGAAGGAUCCGAGUGGCCUGCGUGCGUUUUGCUGGUGAGACGGUAGCAUGGGUCACACCAUGAUUAUCAGGAUAAUAGUGGAUGUGAAGUGCCAGAGACCAGCUCCAGUUGCAAGGUUCAGGUCCUGAGACAGGGAAGGGGUGAAGACACUGAAGGGGUGAAGACACUGAGCACCUGCUGACUUUCAACAGCUGACGUGGGAGACGAAGAACCUGUAAGCAGCGAUAACACAUGAAGGAUUAGAACUCAGGAUCCCAUGAUCUUCAGAAGGAAAAGACUUAUGAGAAUCAUCAAGAUAAAAUAGAAACAUACAGAAGGAAACAGACAGCUUUACCGAUGGAUGAACCAUAAAUGUGCUCUCAGGUGGUUGAGAGAUAUUGCUGAUGUCUGUUCAUAGCAAGGUUAUAGAGUACUGAGAUUUGAAAGAAAGCAUCAAGAAAUUGCAACAUGAAUGAUGGAUGAAGUAAAUCAAGAUGGAUUAACAGCUGUGGUAUAUAUAGCUGUGAGCAUUGCAAAGCAUCAUGCAAGCACAGGCAGAGCACACUUGGAACUGGAAAGAGGAAGACUGGAGAGCUACACAGAUCUCCAAGGACUUUAACUUUUCAGUCCUUUGUUCAUUGUGAUGGCUUUUAGGCCUCUACCAAAGCUCUGCUUUUAUUUUGAGAACUCUCUUUCCUUCAAUCUUUUAACAUCCCUUUAUCAAUUUAAA